GAUGAACGCUGGCGGCGUGCCUAAUACAUGCAAGUCGAGCGAACAGACGAGGAGCUUGCUCCUCUGACGUUAGCGGCGGACGGGUGAGUAACACGUGGAUAACCUACCUAUAAGACUGGGAUAACUUCGGGAAACCGGAGCUAAUACCGGAUAACAUGUUGAACCGCAUGGUUCAACAGUGAAAGACGGUCUUGCUGUCACUUCUCGAUGGAUCCGCGCCGCAUUAGCUAGUUGGUAAGGUAACGGCUUACCAAGGCAACGAUGCGUAGCCGACCUGAGAGGGGGAUAGGACACACGGGAACUGAGACACGGUCAAGACUCCUACGGGAGGCAGCAGUAGGGAAUCUUCCGCAAUGGGCGAAAGCCUGACGGAGCAACGCCGCGUGAGUGAUGAAGGUCUUCGGAUCGUAAAACUCUGUUAUUAGGGAAGAACAAAUGUGGAAGUAACUAUGCACGUCUUGACGGUACCUAAUCAGAAAGCCACGGCUAACUACGUG
rnacentral:rRNA from 1 species